rnacentral:rRNA from 1 species
UACGUAGGGUGCGAGCGUUGUCCGGAAUUAUUGGGCGUAAAGGGCGCGUAGGCGGCCUUUCAAGUGACGGGUGAAAGCCCUCGGCUUAACCGAGGAACUGCCUGUCAGACUGGAAGGCUUGAGACCGGGAGAGGUGAGUGGAAUUCCCAGUGUAGCGGUGAAAUGCGUAGAUAUUGGGAGGAACACCAGUGGCGAAGGCGGCUCACUGGACCGGUACUGACGCUGAGGCGCGAAAGCGUGGGGAGCAAACAGG